UUGAAAGAACCUAGAUCUCAUCUCUCUACGGUCAAAAGUAACCUGGAACCCUUGAUUGUGAGACAAUGUGACCAUCGGUUUCUAAGGUUUUUGUAUUGAUUCUUGAAGGAGUCAUCGGAACUGGCGGCACUUGAAGCAUCCAAAGGAUUCGAGAGACGAUAAUGUUCCCUGUUUCAAAUCUUUUUGAGGUGCUCAGUUUUUUCUGUCGACAAGGUGGUUGUGGCGUUUGAUUUAUAGGGUUAGGGUUUUCCAGAAUUGGGCUGACGGGAGAUCCGGGCACUCCAAAUAAGUGAGACAGGCAAGAUGUCAUGAAGGAACCAACUUCGGGCGUACUACUGGUGGCCCGUUUAUUGCUACAAGCUAUGACUAUC
rnacentral:lncRNA from 1 species